ACUCCUACGGGAGGCAGCAUUGGGGAAUAUUGCACAAUGGGCGCAAGCCUGAUGCAGCCAUGCCGCGUGUGUGAAGAAGGCCUUCGGGUUGUAAAGCACUUUCAGUCGUGAGGAAGGUAGUGUAGUUAAUAGCUGCAUUAUUUGACGUUAGCGACAGAAGAAGCACCGGCUAACUCCGUGCCAGCAGCCGCGGUAAUACGGAGGGUGCGAGCGUUAAUCGGAAUUACUGGGCGUAAAGCGCAUGCAGGUGGUUUGUUAAGUCAGAUGUGAAAGCCCGGGGCUCAACCUCGGAAUAGCAUUUGAAACUGGCAGACUAGAGUACUGUAGAGGGGGGUAGAAUUUCAGGUGUAGCGGUGAAAUGCGUAGAGAUCUGAAGGAAUACCGGUGGCGAAGGCGGCCCCCUGGACAGAUACUGACACUCAGAUGCGAAAGCGUGGGGAGCAAACAGGAUUAGAUACCCUGGUAGGAUAGCG
rnacentral:rRNA from 1 species